rfam:Schistosoma rodhaini strain Burundi genome assembly, scaffold: SROB_scaffold0003187
AUCCAGCUAACGAGUCCCAAAUAGGACAUAACGCGCGUCAAACUGGAU